rnacentral:rRNA from 1 species
UACGUAGGGUGCGAGCGUUAAUCGGAAUUACUGGGCGUAAAGCGUGCGCAGGCGGUUCGUUAUGUCCGAUGUGAAAGCCCCGAGCUUAACUUGGGAAUGGCAUUGGAAACUGGCGGGCUGGAGUGCGGCAGAGGGGGGUGGAAUUCCACGUGUAGCAGUGAAAUGCGUAGAGAUGUGGAGGAACACCGAUGGCGAAGGCAGCCUCCUGGGCCAGCACUGACGCUCAUGCACGAAAGCGUGGGGAGCAAACAGG